AAUUUUUUGUGUGUGGGGAUCAUUUGCAUCUCUAGCGGACUCUACAACUGCACUCUCUCUCACUUUUGCUUACAAGUUACACAGUCUUCCUUUCUCCCUCCUUCAGAUUCACGAAUCACGACAAACGCGCGGCUGCCUCACUCUGCCUCCAGUCCAGAUCGCUCCUCUGCUCGCUGCGGUCCUGCGGCCUCCUCUGCCUAACUGCCUCUGUGGCCGUUCGUCCUCUCUACUGCCUCCGUGUCCGUUCGUCCUCUCUGUUCGCCGCAACCUCAUCUGUCUCCAGAUCGCGUUGCUGCUUUGUUCAAAAGGUUCAGAUUUCUAUUUUGUUAGUGCUGAUUGUUGUUAGUUAUUGUUGAUUUUUGUUAGUUAGUGUUUAUUUUUGUUAGUUAGUUUUGAUUUGGAAUUCUGUUAGUUUGAAUUGUCGCUCCUCUGUUCGUUAGUUUUGAUAGUUCGCUCCCCUGACUCAGUUUUGAUUUCAAUUUUUCUUAGUUCGUCGCCUCCGUGGCAGUUUUGAGUUCUUUAUUUUGUUGAGUUUUUACCUAUCCUAACAAUUUAACAUAUACGGCAGUACCCGAUAUUUUUGUGGAAUUCUACUUUUUGCUUAUGUUGUUCAGUUAGCAUGAAAUUUAAAGCUUAUUUUGUUAGUUUUGAGUUUGGAGCUUUGAUUUGGAUUUUGGAAUUUUGAUUUGGAGUUUAGUGCUGAUUUUUGUUUAGAGUUUUUUUUUGUUGCACAUAAAGUGUUUGAUUUUAUGUCCAUGUAAAGUGUUUGAGUUUUUUUGUUGCACAUAAGGUGUUUGAUUUUAUGUCCAAAGUGUUUGAGUUUUUUUGUUGCACAUAAGGUGUUUGAUUUUAUGUCCAAAGUGUUUGAGUUUUUUUGUUGCACAUAAGGUGUUUGAUUUUAUGUCCAAAGUGUUUGAGUUUUUUUGUUGCACAUAAGGUGUUUGAUUUUAUGUCCAAAGUGUUUGAGUUUUUUUGUUGCACAUAAGGUGUUUGAUUUUAUGUCCAAAGUGUUUGAGUUUUUUUGUUGCACAUAAGGUGUUUGAUUUUAUGUCCAAAGUGUUUGAGUUUUUUUGUUGCACAUAAGGUGUUUGAUUUUAUGUCCAAAGUGUUUGAGUUUUUUUGUUGCACAUAAGGUGUUUGAUUUUAUGUCCAAAGUGUUUGAGUUUUUUUGUUGCACAUAAGGUGUUUGAUUUUAUGUCCAAAGUGUUUGAGUUUUUUUGUUGCACAUAAGGUGUUUGAUUUUAUGUCCAAAGUGUUUGAGUUUUUUUGUUGCACAUAAGGUGUUUGAUUUUAUGUCCAAAGUGUUUGAGUUUUUUUGUUGCACAUAAGGUGUUUGAUUUUAUGUCCAAAGUGUUUGAGUUUUUUUGUUGCACAUAAGGUGUUUGAUUUUAUGUCCAAAGUGUUUGAGUUUUUUUGUUGCACAUAAGGUGUUUGAUUUUAUGUCCAAAGUGUUUGAGUUUUUUUGUUGCACAUAAGGUGUUUGAUUUUAUGUCCAAAGUGUUUGAGUUUUUUUGUUGCACAUAAGGUGUUUGAUUUUAUGUCCAAAGUGUUUGAGUUUUUUUGUUGCACAUAAGGUGUUUGAUUUUAUGUCCAAAGUGUUUGAGUUUUUUUGUUGCACAUAAGGUGUUUGAUUUUAUGUCCAAAGUGUUUGAGUUUUUUUGUUGCACAUAAGGUGUUUGAUUUUAUGUCCAAAGUGUUUGAGUUUUUUUGUUGCACAUAAGGUGUUUGAUUUUAUGUCCAAAGUGUUUGAGUUUUUUUGUUGCACAUAAGGUGUUUGAUUUUAUGUCCAAAGUGUUUGAGUUUUUUUGUUGCACAUAAGGUGUUUGAUUUUAUGUCCAAAGUGUUUGAGUUUUUUUGUUGCACAUAAGGUGUUUGAUUUUAUGUCCAAAGUGUUUGAGUUUUUUUGUUGCACAUAAGGUGUUUGAUUUUAUGUCCAAAGUGUUUGAGUUUUUUUGUUGCACAUAAGGUGUUUGAUUUUAUGUCCAAAGUGUUUGAGUUUUUUUGUUGCACAUAAGGUGUUUGAUUUUAUGUCCAAAGUGUUUGAGUUUUUUUGUUGCACAUAAGGUGUUUGAUUUUAUGUCCAAAGUGUUUGAGUUUUUUUGUUGCACAUAAGGUGUUUGAUUUUAUGUCCAAAGUGUUUGAGUUUUUUUGUUGCACAUAAGGUGUUUGAUUUUAUGUCCAAAGUGUUUGAGUUUUUUUGUUGCACAUAAGGUGUUUGAUUUUAUGUCCAAAGUGUUUGAGUUUUUUUGUUGCACAUAAGGUGUUUGAUUUUAUGUCCAAAGUGUUUGAGUUUUUUUGUUGCACAUAAGGUGUUUGAUUUUAUGUCCAAAGUGUUUGAGUUUUUUUGUUGCACAUAAGGUGUUUGAUUUUAUGUCCAAAGUGUUUGAGUUUUUUUGUUGCACAUAAGGUGUUUGAUUUUAUGUCCAAAGUGUUUGAGUUUUUUUGUUGCACAUAAGGUGUUUGAUUUUAUGUCCAAAGUGUUUGAGUUUUUUUGUUGCACAUAAGGUGUUUGAUUUUAUGUCCAAAGUGUUUGAGUUUUUUUGUUGCACAUAAGGUGUUUGAUUUUAUGUCCAAAGUGUUUGAGUUUUUUUGUUGCACAUAAGGUGUUUGAUUUUAUGUCCAAAGUGUUUGAGUUUUUUUGUUGCACAUAAGGUGUUUGAUUUUAUGUCCAAAGUGUUUGAGUUUUUUUGUUGCACAUAAGGUGUUUGAUUUUAUGUCCAAAGUGUUUGAGUUUUUUUGUUGCACAUAAGGUGUUUGAUUUUAUGUCCAAAGUGUUUGAGUUUUUUUGUUGCACAUAAGGUGUUUGAUUUUAUGUCCAAAGUGUUUGAGUUUUUUUGUUGCACAUAAGGUGUUUGAUUUUAUGUCCAAAGUGUUUGAGUUUUUUUGUUGCACAUAAGGUGUUUGAUUUUAUGUCCAAAGUGUUUGAGUUUUUUUGUUGCACAUAAGGUGUUUGAUUUUAUGUCCAAAGUGUUUGAGUUUUUUUGUUGCACAUAAGGUGUUUGAUUUUAUGUCCAAAGUGUUUGAGUUUUUUUGUUGCACAUAAGGUGUUUGAUUUUAUGUCCAAAGUGUUUGAGUUUUUUUGUUGCACAUAAGGUGUUUGAUUUUAUGUCCAAAGUGUUUGAGUUUUUUUGUUGCACAUAAGGUGUUUGAUUUUAUGUCCAAAGUGUUUGAGUUUUUUUGUUGCACAUAAGGUGUUUGAUUUUAUGUCCAAAGUGUUUGAGUUUUUUUGUUGCACAUAAGGUGUUUGAUUUUAUGUCCAAAGUGUUUGAGUUUUUUUGUUGCACAUAAGGUGUUUGAUUUUAUGUCCAAAGUGUUUGAGUUUUUUUGUUGCACAUAAGGUGUUUGAUUUUAUGUCCAAAGUGUUUGAGUUUUUUUGUUGCACAUAAGGUGUUUGAUUUUAUGUCCAAAGUGUUUGAGUUUUUUUGUUGCACAUAAGGUGUUUGAUUUUAUGUCCAAAGUGUUUGAGUUUUUUUGUUGCACAUAAGGUGUUUGAUUUUAUGUCCAAAGUGUUUGAGUUUUUUUGUUGCACAUAAGGUGUUUGAUUUUAUGUCCAAAGUGUUUGAGUUUUUUUGUUGCACAUAAGGUGUUUGAUUUUAUGUCCAAAGUGUUUGAGUUUUUUUGUUGCACAUAAGGUGUUUGAUUUUAUGUCCAAAGUGUUUGAGUUUUUUUGUUGCACAUAAGGUGUUUGAUUUUAUGUCCAAAGUGUUUGAGUUUUUUUGUUGCACAUAAGGUGUUUGAUUUUAUGUCCAAAGUGUUUGAGUUUUUUUGUUGCACAUAAGGUGUUUGAUUUUAUGUCCAAAGUGUUUGAGUUUUUUUGUUGCACAUAAGGUGUUUGAUUUUAUGUCCAAAGUGUUUGAGUUUUUUUGUUGCACAUAAGGUGUUUGAUUUUAUGUCCAAAGUGUUUGAGUUUUUUUGUUGCACAUAAGGUGUUUGAUUUUAUGUCCAAAGUGUUUGAGUUUUUUUGUUGCACAUAAGGUGUUUGAUUUUAUGUCCAAAGUGUUUGAGUUUUUUUGUUGCACAUAAGGUGUUUGAUUUUAUGUCCAAAGUGUUUGAGUUUUUUUGUUGCACAUAAGGUGUUUGAUUUUAUGUCCAAAGUGUUUGAGUUUUUUUGUUGCACAUAAGGUGUUUGAUUUUAUGUCCAAAGUGUUUGAGUUUUUUUGUUGCACAUAAGGUGUUUGAUUUUAUGUCCAAAGUGUUUGAGUUUUUUUGUUGCACAUAAGGUGUUUGAUUUUAUGUCCAAAGUGUUUGAGUUUUUUUGUUGCACAUAAGGUGUUUGAUUUUAUGUCCAAAGUGUUUGAGUUUUUUUGUUGCACAUAAGGUGUUUGAUUUUAUGUCCAAAGUGUUUGAGUUUUUUUGUUGCACAUAAGGUGUUUGAUUUUAUGUCCAAAGUGUUUGAGUUUUUUUGUUGCACAUAAGGUGUUUGAUUUUAUGUCCAAAGUGUUUGAGUUUUUUUGUUGCACAUAAGGUGUUUGAUUUUAUGUCCAAAGUGUUUGAGUUUUUUUGUUGCACAUAAGGUGUUUGAUUUUAUGUCCAAAGUGUUUGAGUUUUUUUGUUGCACAUAAGGUGUUUGAUUUUAUGUCCAAAGUGUUUGAGUUUUUUUGUUGCACAUAAGGUGUUUGAUUUUAUGUCCAAAGUGUUUGAGUUUUUUUGUUGCACAUAAGGUGUUUGAUUUUAUGUCCAAAGUGUUUGAGUUUUUUUGUUGCACAUAAGGUGUUUGAUUUUAUGUCCAAAGUGUUUGAGUUUUUUUGUUGCACAUAAGGUGUUUGAUUUUAUGUCCAAAGUGUUUGAGUUUUUUUGUUGCACAUAAGGUGUUUGAUUUUAUGUCCAAAGUGUUUGAGUUUUUUUGUUGCACAUAAGGUGUUUGAUUUUAUGUCCAAAGUGUUUGAGUUUUUUUGUUGCACAUAAGGUGUUUGAUUUUAUGUCCAAAGUGUUUGAGUUUUUUUGUUGCACAUAAGGUGUUUGAUUUUAUGUCCAAAGUGUAAAAAAUUAAAUUAGAUGAUUGUGAUAAAUAUGAUUUUCCCUCAUUUUAAUUUUCUUAAUUAUAUUCAAUUAUUAUAAAUCAAUAAAAUAAUAUUAUAAAAUAACUAUAUUUAUAAUACAUAAAAAAUUACUUAUAAAACUUAUAAAAUUAUAAAAUUAUUUAUAAUAAAUUUAUAUUAUUAUUUAAAAAUAUAUCUUUUAUAUUUGAGGCUUGUUAUAAUAGAAUAAUAUUUAUGUAUUUAGCAUAAACCCUUGUAUUUCGAGUAGUUACACAUUGUUUUAGUAAAAAAGAUUUAGAUUAUUUAAGUUAGGUGCUUAAGAAAUAUGUAAAUCUCCGUUAUCAAUUUAAUUUUAUAAAAUAUAUUGACAUGUGUAUUUUUUUUUGGUAACAUUGAAUUGAAUAAUAUUUGAAUUUUUUGUGUGUGGGGAUCAUUUGCAUCUCUAGCGGACUCUACAACUGCACUCUCUCUCACUUUUGCUUACAAGUUACACAGUCUUCCUUUCUCCCUCCUUCAGAUUCACGAAUCACGACAAACGCGCGGCUGCCUCACUCUGCCUCCAGUCCAGAUCGCUCCUCUGCUCGCUGCGGUCCUGCGGCCUCCUCUGCCUAACUGCCUCUGUGGCCGUUCGUCCUCUCUACUGCCUCCGUGUCCGUUCGUCCUCUCUGUUCGCCGCAACCUCAUCUGUCUCCAGAUCGCGUUGCUGCUUUGUUCAAAAGGUUCAGAUUUCUAUUUUGUUAGUGCUGAUUGUUGUUAGUUAUUGUUGAUUUUUGUUAGUUAGUGUUUAUUUUUGUUAGUUAGUUUUGAUUUGGAAUUCUGUUAGUUUGAAUUGUCGCUCCUCUGUUCGUUAGUUUUGAUAGUUCGCUCCCCUGACUCAGUUUUGAUUUCAAUUUUUCUUAGUUCGUCGCCUCCGUGGCAGUUUUGAGUUCUUUAUUUUGUUGAGUUUUUACCUAUCCUAACAAUUUAACAUAUACGGCAGUACCCGAUAUUUUUGUGGAAUUCUACUUUUUGCUUAUGUUGUUCAGUUAGCAUGAAAUUUAAAGCUUAUUUUGUUAGUUUUGAGUUUGGAGCUUUGAUUUGGAUUUUGGAAUUUUGAUUUGGAGUUUAGUGCUGAUUUUUGUUUAGAGUUUUUUUUUGUUGCAC
rnacentral:lncRNA from 1 species